rnacentral:rRNA from 1 species
GACGAACGCUGGCGGCGUGCCUAAUACAUACAAGUCGAGCGAGCGGAACCAACAGAUUUACUUCGGUAAUGACGUUGGGAAAGCGAGCGGCGGAUGGGUGAGUAACACGUGGGGAACCUGCCCCUAAGUCUGGGAUACCAUUUGGAAACAGGUGCUAAUACCGGAUAAUAAAGCAGAUCGCAUGAUCAGCUUUUGAAAGGCGGCGUAAGCUGUCGCUAAGGGAUGGCCCCGCGGUGCAUUAGCUAGUUGGUAAGGUAACGGCUUACCAAGGCGACGAUGCAUAGCCGAGUUGAGAGACUGAUCGGCCACAUUGGGACUGAGACACGGCCCAAACUCCUACGGGAGGCAGCAGUAGGGAAUCUUCCACAAUGGACGCAAGUCUGAUGGAGCAACGCCGCGUGAGUGAAGAAGGUUUUCGGAUCGUAAAGCUCUGUUGUUGGUGAAGAAGGAUAGAGGUAGUAACUGGCCUUUAUUGACGGAAUCAGCCAGAAGUCUAGU